UAGCCGUAAACGAUACUCGCUAGGUGUCGGCCACGGUGCGACCGUUGUCGGUGCCGUAGGGAAGCCGUGAAGCGAGCCACCUGGGAAGUACGGCCGCAAGGCUGAAACUUAAAGGAAUUGGCGGGGGAGCACCACAACGGGUGGAGCUUGCGGUUUAAUUGGAUUCAACGCCGGAAAUCUUACCGGGACCGACAGCAAUAUGAAGGCCAGGCUGAAGACUUUGCCGGAUAGCUGAGAGGAGGUGCAUGGCGUAGACGUCU
rnacentral:rRNA from 1 species